rnacentral:rRNA from 1 species
GACGAACGCUGGCGGCGUGCCUAAUACAUGCAAGUAGAACGCUGAAGAGAGGAGCUUGCUCUUCUUGGAUGAGUUGCGAACGGGUGAGUAACGCGUAGGUAACCUGCCUUGUAGCGGGGGAUAACUAUUGGAAACGAUAGCUAAUACCGCAUAACAAUGGAUGACACAUGUCAUUUAUUUGAAAGGGGCAAUUGCUCCACUACAAGAUGGACCUGCGUUGUAUUAGCUAGUAGGUGAGGUAAUGGCUCACCUAGGCGACGAUACAUAGCCGACCUGAGAGGGUGAUCGGCCACACUGGGACUGAGACACGGCCCAGACUCCUACGGGAGGCAGCAGUAGGGAAUCUUCGGCAAUAGGGGCAACCCUGACCGAGCAACGCCGCGGGAGUGAAGAAGGUUUUCGGAUCGUAAAGCUCUGUUGUAAGUCAAGAACGGGUGUGAGAGUGGAAAGUUCACACUGUGACGGUAGCUUACCAGAAAGGGACGGCUAACUACGUG